UUAGUGGCGGACGGGUGAGUAACGCGUGGAAAACCUGCCGUAUACUGGGGGAUAACACUUAGAAAUAGGUGCUAAUACCGCAUAAGCGCACAGCUUCGCAUGAAGCGGUGUGAAAAACUACUGGUGGUAUACGAUGGUUCCGCGUCUGAUUAGCUAGUUGGUGGGGUAAUGGCCUACCAAGGCAACGAUCAGUAGCCGGCCUGAGAGGGUGAACGGCCACAUUGGGACUGAGACACGGCCCAAACUCCUACGGAAGGCAGCAG
rnacentral:rRNA from 1 species